rnacentral:rRNA from 1 species
AUUGAACGCUGGCGGCAUGCUUUACACAUGCAAGUCGAACGGCAGCGCGGGCUUCGUCCUGGCGGCGAGUGGCGAACGGGUGAGUAAUGCAUCGGAACGUGCCCAGUAGUUGGGGAUAGCCCGGCGAAAGCCGGAUUAAUACCGCAUACGACCUGAGGGUGAAAGCGGGGGACCGAAAGGCCUCGCGCUAUUUGAGCGGCCGAUGUCGGAUUAGCGAGUUGGUGGGGUAAAGGCUUACCAAGGCGACGAUCCGUAGCUGGUCUGAGAGGACGACCAGCCACACUGGGACUGAGACACGGCCCAGACUCCUACGGGAGGCAGCAGUGGGGAAUUUUGGACAAUGGGGGCAACCCUGAUCCAGCCAUGCCGCGUGCGGGAAGAAGGCCUUCGGGUUGUAAACCGCUUUUGUUCGGGAAGAAAUCCUAUGGGCUAAUACCCCGGGGGGAUGACGGUACCGGAAGAAUAAGCACCGGCUAACUACGUG